rnacentral:lncRNA from 1 species
UCUUGAAAUUGAAAAAAAUGAUAAAUUGCAUUUUUUAACUGCUAGGAUUUUUUAGUGGCAUGUAAAACAGUGGGACAUCUUAAAAUCAGUGAUACAGUAUGAGAUAUGAAAAAUAUUCAGAAUCUGACCAUUUCUUAACACCAUUACUACCAUCUUCCUGGGAUAAACCUCCAUCAUCUUUUGUUUAUAUUAUUGCAAUAGCUUCCUAAUUUGUCAUUUUGUUUCUACCCAUAGCCUGACUUCAAUUCAUUCUAAACACGAUGACCAGAGCGUUCCUGCUAAAACUGAAGCCUGACCUUUGCCUCAGGACCCUGAUUGCUGGCAGCUCUUCCAAAAGUGCCUCCCUUCCUUCACACAGUCUUCACACUCCUGGGCCUCAGAGAAUGUAUGGCAAGGUCUAUGUUCCUUUCCCUUGGAUCUGGAUGCACCUUCUGACUGCUUGACAAAUAGAAUACGGUAAAAGUGACCAUGUUGCUGGGACCAGGCCUUAAAAAAUUGGAGGUUUCCUCUUCCUGUCUUCUAGGACACCCUUCUUAGUGACCAUACAAGAAGUCCAACUACCCUGAGACCCUCAUGUAGGGAAGAUCAUGUAUAGGCACUCCAGUGGUCCUUCCUGCUGAGCCCAGUCUUCCAGUCAUGCUUGGCAAGGUGCCAGACAUGUGAAUGAAGCCCCUUGGACCUUCUAGACAAGCUGUUACCUAAUCUGAAUUUCAUCAGGUGACCUCAGCCAAGGCCACAUGGAGCAAAAAAAGUGUUCAGACACUGCCUGAAUUCCUGAGCCAGUAAUCAUGAGAUAUAAUAAAAUGGUUGAUAUUUUAAACCCGGCAUGUUGGGUAAAUUGUUAAGCAGCAAUAAUUAACAAAACA